rnacentral:rRNA from 1 species
CAGUAGCCGCGGGAAAACGUAGGGUGCAAGCGUUAAUCGGAAUUACUGGGCGUAAAGCGUGCGCAGGCGGUUAUAUAAGACAGAUGUGAAAUCCCCGGGCUCAACCUGGGAACUGCAUUUGUGACUGUAUAGCUAGAGUACGGCAGAGGGGGAUGGAAUUCCGCGUGUAGCAGUGAAAUGCGUAGAUAUGCGGAGGAACACCGAUGGCGAAGGCAAUCCCCUGGGCCUGUACUGACGCUCAUGCACGAAAGCGUGGGGAGCAAACAGGAUUAGAGACCCGGGUAGUCCCUGUCUCUUAUAC